GUGGGGAAUAUUGGACAAUGGGCGCAAGCCUGAUCCAGCCAUGCCGCGUGAGUGAUGAAGGCCCUAGGGUUGUAAAGCUCUUUCGCCAGGGACGAUAAUGACGGUACCUGGAUAAGAAGCCCCGGCUAACUUCGUGCCAGCAGCCGCGGUAAUACGAAGGGGGCUAGCGUUGUUCGGAAUCACUGGGCGUAAAGCGCACGUAGGCGGAUCUUUAAGUCAGGGGUGAAAUCCCGAGGCUCAACCUCGGAACUGCCUUUGAUACUGGGGAUCUCGAGUCCGGGAGAGGUGAGUGGAACUGCGAGUGUAGAGGUGAAAUUCGUAGAUAUUCGCAAGAACACCAGUGGCGAAGGCGGCUCACUGGCCCGGUACUGACGCUGAGGUGCGAAAGCGUGGGGAGCAAACAGGAUUAGAAACCCCUGUAGUCC
rnacentral:rRNA from 1 species